UCUUGGGUUGUAAACCCCUUUUCUCUGGGAAGAAAGUUGUGAAAGCAGCCUGACGGUACCAGAGGAAUCAGCAUCGGCUAACUCCGUGCCAGCAGCCGCGGUAAGACGGAGGAUGCAAGCGUUAUCCGGAAUGAUUGGGCGUAAAGCGUCCGCAGGUGGCAGUUCAAGUCUGCUGUCAAAGACCGGGGCUCAACCUCGGAAAGGCAGUGGAAACUGAACAGCUAGAGUAUGGUAGGGGCAAAGGGAAUUCCUGGUGUAGCGGUGAAAUGCGUAGAGAUCAGGAAGAACAUCGGUGGCGAAGGCGCUUUGCUGGACCAUAACUGACACUCA
rnacentral:rRNA from 1 species